GAGGGUAUAACUCAGUGGUAGAGUGCCUGCCUUGCAAGCACAAGGCCCUGGGUUCAAUCUCCAGUACCUCCA
rnacentral:tRNA from 1 species